rnacentral:lncRNA from 10 species
GAGAAGGGAAGGUGGAGCCGCUAUUUUGAACAUGAUUGGCACAACUGCCAGCAUCUAUAUCUGCAGCUUGAUUUUACAGGCUGCUCUUUGUUAGAAAGGAACAUGAUUUGGGGCUACUUUUCAUUAAAAGGAAAACUGUACCGAAGACUUCCAUACCCUCACUAUCUGUACCAUGAGUCUCCAGUGUUGGAGUGCCCACUUCAGAAGUCUGUGUGUUUUGCUUCAUCCUGAGGAUCCCAUCUUGGAUACCACAUUACCUUAAACACUGCCUCAGCCAGGUGAUCAAGGUCAACGUCUACUGUGAUAAGUCAUGGUUUUGGUGUGUACCCUUGAUGUGAUGUGAUAAAAAUGGCACUUUACCUCUGUGGUCUUCCUCUGAAAAAUCCCGUAACAGCAGCCUAAUCAUGAGAAGCAUAUCAACAAAACUCAGACUCAGGGACAUUCUACAAAAUACCAGGCUGUCCCUCCCUGAAAUUGUCAAGUUCACCAAAAACAAGGUGAAUCUAAGAAACCUGUUACAGCCAAGAGGAGCCUAAGAAGACAUGAGGACUAAAUAUAACAUGGAAUUCGGGAUAGGAUUGUGCUACAGAAAAUGUAUGUGCUAAUGUGAGAUGUUAACAGUUGGAGAAACUCAGUUUUGGGUAUAAGGAAUUCUCUGUACUAUGUUUAUCUAAAAACAAUUCCAUGGUGAGCAAACUUAAGCAUAGAAAUGUUAAAUAAAUUGUCCAAAAUAGAGAAGUAAAUAGCAGUGCCAGGUUUCAAGCAUAAGAAUCAUCAACUCUGAACUUUAAACACAGCUCUGUAUGGUACUUUUGUUUAUAUCAAUGCCUAGAUAGAUAAAUAGGUAGAUAGAUAAUUUCCAAGUGCUAGAAACAAAAAAGGAACUAAAACUGAUAAAGAAUAUAAAUGAGGCCAGGCAGGGUGGCUCACACCUGUAAUCCCAGCAUUUUGGGAGGCCGAGGCAGGCAGAUCACUGAAGGUUCGGAGUUCAAGACCAGCCUGGCCAACUGGGGAAACCCUGUCUCUACUAAAAAAAAAAAAAAAUAGCCAGGCAUGGUGGCAUGUGCCUGUGAAGCAAGAGAUGUGAGAGGAAAAACAAAUUUUUCCUCUUUCUUUUGGUAUGGGCAGCUUCCCCCUUGAAUCCCUCCUCACUCCUUGUGAUUUUACCCUGCUCUGUAAGUUUUAUGAGUUUAUAGAUUCCUGUUUUCUGUAACUAGUGUCUGUAAGUCUCUGUAGCACCGUGGAGGUAAUGAGACAUGCUUGAGCAAGCUUAGAUUGCAGCCAUCUGGGCGCCAUAGCGAAGGACACGAGAUAAGGCUGUGCAGGCAUCUUGAGCAAACCUAGAUAACAGCCACCUGGCCUGCACAGCAAGAAUCAUGUGUAAGCUUGAGUUAGGAACCUGUCACAGUUUGAUUAACUGCCUUUGUUCUGCUUCUGUAAGCUUGCUUUCCACACCCCACAAGCUUUGCGCCACUGGCAAGCCACCCUCCUUCAGUUGCAUGAAUAAAAGUCAAGCCCUGUCUUCUUUUGUUGCUCAGCCUCUGGAUAUUAAUCCACUAAGCCAGUGGCAACCUAAAUAAAAUCCUCCUGUUCCACCCAUCUGGUCUCUCCAGUCUCCUCAUUCCUGCAACACCUGCAAUCCCAGCUACAUGGGAGGCUGAGGCAGGAGAAUCACUUGAACCUGGGAGGCAGAGGGCACAGUGAGCCAAGAUGGUGCCACUGCACUCCAUCCUGGGUGACAGAGAGAGACUCAGUCUCAAAAAAAAAAAAAAAAAGAAUAUAAGUGAAUGUUGACCUCAUGGGGACUCACUGGUGUUUCAGACAUCAAGACUAUAGGCUAGAGUUCAAGACCCAGUGAGGAGAUGUGAUAUGAUUUUGUGUGAGGCAAGCAUCAAAAGCAGACACCUGUGUGUAAAGCCCAGAGAUCUGAAGAGCUAACCUGUCUGUGAAAAGGGAAUUAGAUAAAACACAGGCUACCAGUUCACAGAUGCUAGAGAGAGCUUGCUGUCAGCCUAGGGGGAAUUCUCACCAACUGAAAAAUUCCUAUCAGUGUUCAAUGACAUACGACAUUCAUAGAGAUUCUGAAUUGCCCAAGGAGUUUCCAAAUUGUAAUUCUAAUCCAUGAGUUUUGGGCAAUUUAGUGGCUUUGUGAUAAGAAAGGGGAAAUGCAAAACUUCUCUUGUAAGACUCGUGGUGUGAGCUGGUCCUGAAGUUCUUGAUCAUUUUGUUAGCACCCAAACUGGUUUGUCAACAAACUUUGAGAGUCAAAAGCUUGAGAGACAUGCACAUCAAAGACCAUGACAAAAAGGGAAGAAAAGCAACAACAGCACAGAAG